UACGUAGGGUGCGAGCGUUGUCCGGAAUUAUUGGGCGUAAAGGGCUCGUAGGCGGUCUGUCACGUCGGGAGUGAAAACUCAGGGCUUAACCCUGAGCCUGCUUCCGAUACGGGCAGACUAGAGGUAUGCAGGGGAGAACGGAAUUCCUGGUGUAGCGGUGAAAUGCGCAGAUAUCAGGAGGAACACCGGUGGCGAAGGCGGUUCUCUGGGCAUUACCUGACGCUGAGGAGCGAAAGUGUGGGGAGCGAACGGG
rnacentral:rRNA from 1 species